rnacentral:ncRNA from 1 species
AAUGAAAUUCUCUUUGCUAGGGCCCCAAUCCCCAGCUUGCUUAGCUUGUAGAAUUUCUUAAUGAAAUUCUCUUUGCUGGGGCCCCGAUCCCCAGCUUGCUUAGCUUGUAGAAUUUCUUUGUGAAAUUCUCUUUGCUAGGGUCCCAUCGCCCCGGCAAGGUUGACUAGAAUUAAAAAAAGCUAGUUACAAGUGCAUUUUUAAUUCAGUCAACUACUGCCAAUAUAUAUUUGUAGCCUGAGACAUUGAAUUAU